GCGGAGGAUCAUUACUGAAAUGUAAUAACUUCUAUUGAAAGGUUCCAGAGUAGGCGCUACAACGCCGAAAUGACCUUCUCACCCUUGUGUACUCACUACGUUGCUUUGGCGGGUCGACCUGGUUCCGACCCAGGCGGCCGGCGCCCCCAGCCUUAACUGGCCAGGACGCCCGGCUAAGUGCCCGCCAGUAUACAAAACUCAAGAAUUCAUUUUGUGAAGUCUCCUGAUAUAUCAUUUAAUUGAUUAAAACUUUCAACAACGGAUCUCUUGGUUCUGGCAUCGAUGAAGAACGCAGCGAAAUGCGAUAAGUAAUGUGAAUUGCAGAAUUCAGUGAAUCAUCGAAUCUUUGAACGCACAUUGCGCCCUCUGGUAUUCCGGAGGGCAUGCCUGUUCGAGCGUCAUUUCAACCCUCAAGCUCUGCUUGGUAUUGGGCAACGUCCGCUGCCGGACGUGCCUUGAAGACCUCGGCGACGGCGUCCUAGCCUCGAGCGUAGUAGUAAAAUAUCUCGCUUUGGAGUGCUGGGCGACGGCCGCCGGACAAUCGACCUUCGGUCUAUUUUUCCAAGGUUGACCUCGGAUCAGGUAGGGAUACCCGCUGAACUUAAGCAUAUCAAUAAGCGGAGGAAAAGAAACCAACAGGGAUUGCCUUAGUAACGGC
rnacentral:rRNA from 1 species